rnacentral:rRNA from 1 species
GACGAACGCUGGCGGCGUGCUUAACACAUGCAAGUCGAACGGAAAGGCCCUGCUUUUGUGGGGUGCUCGAGUGGCGAACGGGUGAGUAACACGUGAGUAACCUGCCCUUGACUUUGGGAUAACUUCAGGAAACUGGGGCUAAUACCGGAUAGGAGCUCCUGCUGAAUGGUGGGGGUCGGAAAGUUUCGGCGGUUGGGGAUGGACUCGCGGCUUAUCAGCUUGCUGGCGGGGUAGUGGCUUACCAAGGCUCUGACGGGUAGCCGGCCUGAGAGGGUGACCGGCCACAUUGGGACUGAGAUACGGCCCAGACUCCUACGGGAGGCAGCAGUGGGGAAUAUUGCACAGUGGGCGGAAGCCAGAUGCAGCAACGCCGCGUGCGGGAUGACGGCCUUCGGGUUGUAAACCGCUUUCGCCUGUGACGAAGCGAGAGUGACGGUAAUGGGUAAAGAAGCACCGGCUAACUACGUG